rnacentral:rRNA from 1 species
AUUGAACGCUGGCGGCAGGCCUAACACAUGCAAGUCGAGCGGAUGAGUGGAGCUUGCUCCAUGAUUCAGCGGCGGACGGGUGAGUAAUACCUAGGAAUCUACCUGGUAGUGGGGGACAACGUUUCGAAAGGAACGCUAAUACCGCAUACGUCCUACGGGAGAAAGUGGGGGAUCUUCGGACCUCACGCUAUCAGAUGAGCCUAGGUCGGAUUAGCUAGUUGGUGAGGUAAAGGCUCACCAAGGCGACGAUCCGUAACUGGUCUGAGAGGAUGAUCAGUCACACUGGAACUGAGACACGGUCCAGACUCCUACGGGAGGCAGCAGUGGGGAAUAUUGGACAAUGGGCGAAAGCCUGAUCCAGCCAUGCCGCGUGUGUGAAGAAGGUCUUCGGAUUGUAAAGCACUUUAAGUUGGGAGGAAGGGCAGUAAGUUAAUACCUUGCUGUUUUGACGUUACCAACAGAAUAAGCACCGGCUAACUUCGUGCCAGCAGCCGCCGUAACAC